GAUGAACGCUGGCGGCGUGCCUAAUACAUGCAAGUCGAGCGAACGGACGAGAAGCUUGCUUCUCUGAUGUUAGCGGCGGACGGGUGAGUAACACGUGGGUAACCUACCUAUAAGACUGGGAUAACUUCGGGAAACCGGAGCUAAUACCGGAUAAUAUUUUGAACCGCAUGGUUCAAAAGUGAAAGACGGUCUUGCUGUCACUUAUAGAUGGAUCCGCGCUGCAUUAGCUAGUUGGUAAGGUAACGGCUUACCAAGGCAACGAUGCAUAGCCGACCUGAGAGGGUGAUCGGCCACACUGGAACUGAGACACGGUCCAGACUCCUACGGGAGGCAGCAGUAGGGAAUCUUCCGCAAUGGGCGAAAGCCUGACGGAGCAACGCCGCGUGAGUGAUGAAGGUCUUCGGAUCGUAAAACUCUGUUAUUAGGGAAGAACAUAUGUGUAGUAACUGUGCACAUCUUGACGGUACCUAAUCAGAAAGCCACGGCUAACUACGUG
rnacentral:rRNA from 1 species